ACAGUUCUUUUGCACACUGGCUUUUCACUGAGUGCAAAAUCCCAACUCAGCUUAGAAGAGCCUGUUUCCUCGCACAUGACCACAGAAGGCUGCAUGCAGAACACCAGAGUAUCUUGAAAGAAAACAACCCCAAGCUGGAAAGAAGCCCCGAAGAUUGGAUUAUCCUGGUGUGAUUGGUUCAAGUCACUGCUCACAGAGACUUAGAGACAAAUGCGGAUCGUGUGGGCCAAGGACCCUUCUUGUUUUCCGGGCUCUGAGUCUGGACACUCAGGAAGUAUUUUGGUUUCCACUCAGCACCAGAAAGGAGGGAGGCUCCAGGGAAGGGACCAAAUGUGUAAUUGCUGAACCAGCACUGCCUGGAGACACGGCUGAGCAGAUGACACGAGUCACAGGGGACACGAGUGCACAACCCUCCCCCUGACUGAAAAGCCUACCUCUCAGGUUUGGCUGGGAAUGCAGCCCUGUCAGCCAGGUUUGACUCAGCAGCCGGAGCAGAUCUGGCUGCUCAGGAUUGGGACAUACAGGGUUCUGUCUUUAAUUUUAACUGAAG